rnacentral:lncRNA from 1 species
GUCUGGGAUAGGGCCAGAAAUUCUACAUUUCUAACAAGCUUCCAAGGAUGUGGGUGCUGAUGAUCUACAGACCUUACUUUGCUCAGCAGACCAUCAAACAACCAAAGGGUUUUAUGGAGAAAUGACCCAUGAAAAACAAUUCCCUGCUUCUACCAGAACAAACUUGCUGGACGUGGAUGGCCCCAUCUAGAUGGCCGAGAGCUGGAAGUUGCACCCUGUGAUCAUGAAGGAAGUUGCUGUGGUCCGUACAUCAAACUGGAAUGGUCAAUUGACACUUUCCAAUCCUCUGAUUUACCCUCACCAAUGGAGAUAUCCAAAUCACCACCACUUUAAGGCUUCAUUCCUCCUGGCUUCUACAUGUGGGAAGGACCAGAAGAAUGGGCUUUAUAUACACCCAAGCUGCAGGGAACGAAAUUUUGAGCCAAGGCAUGCCCAUCAACACAUU